rnacentral:rRNA from 1 species
AGCAGCCGCGGUAAUUCCAGCUCCAAUAGCGUAUAUUAAAGUUGUUGCAGUUAAAAGCUCAUGGUUGAAUUUCGGGAUCAAUUAGUCGGUCGUGCCUCUGGUACGUACUGGUUUUAUUGGUUCCUCCCUUCUGACGAAACAUGAUGUCAUUAAUUUGGUGUCGUGGAGAAUCAGGACUGUUACCUUGAAAAAUUGAGUGUUUAUAGCAGGCUAACGCUUGAAUACAUUAGCAUGGAAUAAUGAAAUAGGACGUUCGACCCUAUUUUGUUGGUUUCUAGGAUCGACGUAAUGAUUAAUAGGGAUAGUUGGGGGCAUUAGUAUUCAAUUGUCAGAGGUGAAAUUCUUGGAUUUAUUGA